GAGUUUGAUCCUGGCUCAGAACGAACGCUGGCGGCAGGCUUAACACAUGCAAGUCGAACGCCUGUAGCAAUACAGGAGUGGCAGACGGGUGAGUAACACGUGGGAACGUGCCCAAAGGUACGGAACAACUCCGGGAAACUGGAGCUAAUACCGUAUGUGCCCGAAAGGGGAAAGAUUUAUCGCCUUUGGAUCGGCCCGCGUCUGAUUAGCUAGUUGGUGGGGUAAUGGCCUACCAAGGCGACGAUCAGUAGCUGGUCUGAGAGGAUGGCCAGCCACACUGGGACUGAGACACGGCCCAGACCCUACGGGAGGCAGCAGUGGGGAAUAUUGGACAAUGGGCGCAAGCCUGAUCCAGCCAUGCCGCGUGAGUGAUGAAGGCCUUAGGGUUGUAAAGCUCUUUCGCCAGGGACGAUAAUGACGGUACCUGGAUAAGAAGCCCCGGCUAACUACGUGCCAGCCGCCGCCGUAAG
rnacentral:rRNA from 1 species